UACGUAAGGGGCAAGCGUUGUCCGGAAUCACUGGGCGUAAAGCGCACGUAGGCGGUGCAGCAAGUCAGGGGUGCAAGCUCCAGGCCUAACCUGGAAACUGCCUCUGAAACUACUGUGCUUGAGGGUCAGAGGGGAAACUGGAAUUCACGGUGUAGCGGUGAAAUGCGUAGAUAUCAGGAGGAACACCGGUGGCGAAGGCGGGUCUCUGGGCCGAUACUGACGCUGAGGAGCGAAAGCGUGGGGAGCGAACAGG
rnacentral:rRNA from 1 species